UUCUUUCCUUUUUUCUUUUUCCCUUUUUUCUUUCCUUUUUUCUUUUUCACUUAUUUUCCCUUUCUUUCCUUUCCUUUUUUUUCUGUCCUUCCCCUUUUUUUUUUCUUUUUCCAAUAUUUUAUUUUUCUUUUCCCUUUUCUUUCUUCCUGGUAUUUUUUUUAUUUUAAAGUUUUUUUCUUUCUUUUUGGCUGAAACCCUCUUUACCAGGCAGCCUCACUAAUUCCAUCUCUUUCUGCUCCAAGAUGACAGAGAGGAAUCAGAAUCCCAGCCUGGUUUGGGCUGGAAGGCUGAGUUUUAAGGCAUUUGGACUUAGAGGAAUAGCAGAUUCUCAAGGCCAGAGCUCCCAGUGUGUCCUGGUUUGGACUGAUCUUCAGAAGCGGGUGUGCCAGCUGCUGGACACCAUUCCCCGGGAGGCUGGUGCCCAGCUCGUGAGCUGUGCCAUGGACGUGGAUUCCAGGCAGAAACUCCCCCCUGACUCUGCUCCCUGGGCUGCAAGGACAAAGCAGAAUUCCGUGAUUUUGGAAAAUCAUGGGAGCAACGGCAUUUCCCAGCCCUGCCCAAGAUGUGUUGCUGGAGAAUCUGGCCACUUCAGUCACAUCCUGGGCUUCUAGAGGAGGAGAGGGGCCAGAGGAGCAGCUCUGAUUCCUGCUGGGAUCACAGGGUGCAGCUGGUCCUGCCCUGCCCUGCUGCCAUCCGGGCACCACUGCUGCCACCCUACACCUGCCCAAAAUGCUUCUGCUCCUCGGGUGCCUCAGAACUGGUCCAAAAAGGACAAGGAGAGGCUGAUUUCAUGUUUAGGUAAAUGAGAAUUUGUUUUAAAAGAACAUGGAGAGGCUGAUUUCAUGUUUAGGUAAAUGAGAAUUUGUUUUAAAAGAACAUGGAGAGAUUGAUUUCAUGUUUAGGUAGCUGAGAAUUUGUCCAAAAGAGACAAGAAAAGGCAGAUUUCAUGUUUAGCUCAGAAUUUGUACAUAAAGGACAAAAAAAAUUUUGAGUUUAGGUAGCUCAGAAUUUGUUGUUCAUAAAGGGUAAGAAAAGGCAGAUUUCCUGUUUAGGUAGGUCAGAAAUUGUUUUAAAAGGACAAGAAAAUG
rnacentral:lncRNA from 1 species